GACGAACGCUGGCGGCGUGCUUAAUACAUGCAAGUCGAGCGAGGUUACUGUUUUGGAUCCCUUCGGGGUGAAGAAGCUUUAACCUAGCGGCGGACGGGUGAGUAACGCGUGGGUAACCUACCCCAAAGUCCGGGAUAACAGCGGGAAACCGCUGCUAAUACCGGAUGCCUUUACCUUGGGGCAUCUUGAGGUAAAGAAAGGUAACGCUUUGGGAUGGGCCCGCGUCCCAUUAGCUAGUUGGUGAGGUAACGGCUCACCAAGGCGACGAUGGGUAGCCGGCCUGAGAGGGUGGACGGCCACACUGGGACUGAGACACGGCCCAGACUCCUACGGGAGGCAGCAGUAGGGAAUAUUGCGCAAUGGACGGAAGUCUGACGCAGCGACGCCGCGUGAGCGAUGAAGGUCUUCGGAUCGUAAAGCUCUGUCCUUGGGGAAGAAGGCGAAAGCUUGACGGUACCCAAGAAGAAAGCCCCGGCUAACUACGUG
rnacentral:rRNA from 2 species